rnacentral:rRNA from 1 species
AGUGAACGCUGGCGGUAGGCCUAACACAUGCAAGUCGAACGGCAGCACAGUAAGAGCUUGCUCUUACGGGUGGCGAGUGGCGGACGGGUGAGGAAUACAUCGGAAUCUACUUUUUCGUGGGGGAUAACGUAGGGAAACUUACGCUAAUACCGCAUACGACCUACGGGUGAAAGCAGGGGAUCUUCGGACCUUGCGCGAUUGAAUGAGCCGAUGUCGGAUUAGCUAGUUGGCGGGGUAAAGGCCCACCAAGGCGACGAUCCGUAGCUGGUCUGAGAGGAUGGUCCGCCACACUGGAACUGAGACACGGUCCAGACUCCUACGGGAGGCAGCAGUGGGGAAUAUUGGACAAUGGGCGCAAGCCUGAUCCAGCCAUACCGCGUGGGUGAAGAAGGCCUUCGGGUUGUAAAGCCCUUUUGUUGGGAAAGAAAAGCAGCAGGUUAAUACCCCGCUGUUCUGACGGUACCCAAAGAAUAAGCACCGGCUAACUUCGU